rnacentral:lncRNA from 10 species
CAGUGGAAAAUGAGGAAUAGCGCAAGGACCUUUUUCUCAAUGUGCCUUAGUUUCACCAUCUGUAAACAGAGGGCUGGGGCAGACAAAUCCCAUAUCCCCUGUCCCCCACAGCAAAAUCUUACAUCCAGAUGAAGUGUGUCCUGUCCUCUGAGCAUCUUUUUGCUGCAUCUUUGCAAGGAAGAUUGUAAAUGUCGGUGUGAACGUAGAAAGAAGUGUCUGAAACAGCAGAACUGACUGGGACAGGGAGAGGCUGGCAAGAAGCAAGCAUUUGAUAUUAAGCCCCUGCUAAACAUCAAGCUUGUCAUGAAGAAAUGAGGUCAGCACACAAAGGGAAUGCCCCUUGGAGAAACUCAGCACUCCAUUUGGAGCUAACUGGACCAAUUCUUGACCAGUGAAAAGAUAAAUCCAGUGUAAGGUGCAAGCACCUGCUUUUAACAUGAUGCCAUUGUGAUUUUAGCUGCUGCUCACAGGUAACUAUCGCUCUUCAAGUCUUUCCUUCCUUG